rnacentral:rRNA from 1 species
CAACCUGGCGGCGAGUGGCGAACGGGUGAGUAAUAUAUCGGAACGUACCCUGGAGUGGGGGAUAACGUAGCGAAAGUUACGCUAAUACCGCAUACGAUCUAAGGAUGAAAGUGGGGGCUUCGCAAGAACCUCAUGCUCCUGGAGCGGCCGAUAUCUGAUUAGCUAGUUGGUGGGGUAAAGGCCUACCAAGGCAUCGAUCAGUAGCUGGUCUGAGAGGACGACCAGCCACACUGGAACUGAGACACGGUCCAGACUCCUACGGGAGGCAGCAGUGGGGAAUUUUGGACAAUGGGCGAAAGCCUGAUCCAGCAAUGCCGCGUGAGUGAAGAAGGCCUUCGGGUUGUAAAGCCCUUUUGUCAGGGAAGAAACGGUGAGAGCUAAUAUCUUUUGCUAAUGACGGUACCUGAAGAAUAAGCACCGGCUAACUACGUGCCAGCAGCCGCGGUAAUACGUAGGGUGCAAGCGUUAAUCGGAAUUACUGGGCGUAAAGCGUGCGCAGGCGGUUUUGUAAGUUUGUCGUGAAAUCCCCGGGCUCAACCUGGGAAUUGCGAUGAAGACUGCAAGGCUAGAAUCUGGCAGAGGGAGGUAGAAUUCCACGUGUAGCAGUGAAAUGCGUAGAGAUGUGGAGGAACACCGAUGGCGAAGGCAGCCCCCUGGGUCAAGAUUGACGCUCAUGCACGAAAGCGUGGGGAGCAAACAGGAUUAGAUACCCUGGUAGUCCACGCCCUAAACGAUGUCUACUAGUUGUCGGGUUUUAAUUAACUUGGUAACGCAGCUAACGCGUGAAGUAGACCGCCUGGGGAGUACGGUCGCAAGAUUAAAACUCAAAGGAAUUGACGG